AUGGACACGGACGCACAACUCCGCUUUAAUUGCCGCAAGCGCUGCCUACCGGCUGACGGUCGCCUCGACGACCACUGGCGCGGCCAGCAGCGCAAGCGCCGCGGCGUCCGCGUCCUCGUUCCCGACUGCUUCCUCGUGCCCCCGCCGGAAGCCAAAUCCGCUGAUUUCGACAUGUGGGACUACAUCCGCAGCAUCCCGGACAUGUGGGACAACGGCCUGAGGCUGCUUAAGGACUGGGUCCGUGCGUCCAAGGAUGUGCCGCAGGAUCCGCCGGAUCUCACGUAUCUCACCAAGAACAACGAUGUGAAGCCAGGGCGCCUGGUGGGGAGUUGGAAAAUAGAGAACUCCAGGAAGGUCGCCUUGAAGGCGGUGAAACCGCGUUGGAAGGAUCUCCUCGAGGAGACGAGACAUAAUGACAAGAGGUUGCGCGAGAUCGGCGACGAGGUGGCCUUUCUGGAGAAGACGCUUGAGGAGCAGAGGAAGCUGGCUGAGCCGCCUAAGGAGGAUCUGUCUCAAUUCUUUGUACCUCUAACUGCUGAAGAUGAAAAGGAAGUUCAGGAUUGUUUGUAUGGUAAUGGUUCAAGUAGCAAAGUCCUGGUGCUGCAUGAACCGUCUAACAUUGAGGUUAGCAGGGAAAAAUUUCGGUGUUUGAGACCACAUGGUUGGUUAAAUGAUGAGGUCAUUAAUUUGUACCUUGAAUUGUUAAAGGAGAGGGGAAUAAGAGAACCAAAAAGGUUCUUGAAAUGCCAUUUCUUCAAUACAUUUUUUUAUAAGAAGCUUGCUUGUGGAAAAACUGGAUAUGACUACAAAUCUGUAAAAAGAUGGACUACCUCCAGGAAGUUGGGUUAUGAGCUCAUUGAAUGUGAUAAAAUCUUUGUCCCCGUACAUCAAAAUGUGCAUUGGUGUUUGGCAGUUAUAAACAUAAAGGCGAAGACAGUACAAUAUCUUGAUUCUCUUGGCGGCAAUGAUCUUCGUGUAUACGAAAUGCUGGCUAGAUAUAUUGUAGAUGAAGUGAAGGACAAGAGUAAUAAAGAGAUUGACAUAAGUUCUGGGACCAAAGAAUCUAUUGAUUGUAUUCCUUUACAAGAGAAUGGGUUUGAUUGUGGUAUGUUUAUGCUCAAGUACAUUGAUUUCCUCAGCAGAGGAGUCAGCUUAUCUUUUGGUCAGGAACACAUGGAAUACUUUCGGAGGAGAACAGCUAAGGAAAUCUUAAGACUAAGGGCUGACUAA
rnacentral:rRNA from 1 species